GGCAUGGUGGCUCAGUGGUUAGAGCGCCCGUCUCAUGAACGGGAGGUCGUGGGUUCGAACCCCGGCAGAGUUA
rnacentral:tRNA from 1 species